UACAGAGGUCUCAAGCGUUGUUCGGAUUCAUUGGGCGUAAAGGGUGCGUAGGCGGCGCGGUAAGUCGGGUGUGAAAUCUCGGGGCUUAACUCCGAAACUGCAUUCGAUACUGCCGUGCUUGAGGACUGGAGAGGAGACUGGAAUUUACGGUGUAGCGGUGAAAUGCGUAGAUAUCGAGAGGAACACCUGCGGCGAAGGCGGGUUGCUGGGCUGAUACUGACGCUGAGGCGCGAAAGCCAGGGGAGCGAACGGG
rnacentral:rRNA from 1 species